rnacentral:rRNA from 1 species
UACGGAGGGGGCAAGCGUUAUUCGGAAUUAUUGGGCGUAAAGAGCUCGUAGGCGGUUUGUCGCGUCUGCUGUGUAAACUCGGGGCUUAACCCCGGGCCUGCAGUGGGUACGGGCAGACUAGAGUGCGGUAGGGGAGACUGGAAUUCCUGGUGUAGCGGUGAAAUGCGCAGAUAUCAGGAGGAACACCGAUGGCGAAGGCAGGUCACUGGGCCGCAACUGACGCUGAGGAGCGAAAGCAUGGGGAGCGAACAGG